AGUACCAAUCUUUAAAAAAAUACAAUUUUUUGUUCUUUUUGGCUUGUCAUUAUUGUAUAUUUUGGUAGAAAAAAUAUUUGAAUGUGGUUCCAUUGAAAAAUAGCAGUCAAAUUCAAAAUGUCUUCGAAGCGGUCUGGUGUAUCCGGGUCACGGCAGUGCUUGAACCUGAAAUGACCUGAUUUAGCAGAUAUGCUUAUAUCUUUGCACCCGACCCCUUUCAAGACGUCGGCUCUUGAAAGGGGUCCGGUACAUGGUGGAAUUUGGGUAGGUGAAGGAGAAAAUAAUUCAGAAACCUACAGCUGAACGGCCGGUGGACAGUGUCAGAAAAUGCUGUCGGACAUUUUCCAGAAAUAGCAGAUAAGCAAUCACGCUGUAGAUUUUGCAAAGAUAGAAGAACUAAAGUUUUUUGCGUGAAAUGCAAUGUGCUCUUGUGUUUUAUGGUAGGAGAAAGUAACAAAAGAAAUUGCUUCCGCUAAUCUCACACGCAAUAAAUGCAUAUUAUGUAGUUUGAUAAGAAUUAUGAUUAAUAAAGUGAAGAUUUUACUAAAA